rnacentral:lncRNA from 1 species
GACUAACUGGUGUUGCCUGUGUGCAAACCUGUUGUCCCGAAACUCUCCGUAGGACUCAGAUCCUGCAGCACUUGACGUGGAAGCUUUCAGUCUCUUGUCUCAUCAUCAUCAUCAUCUCCUCUCAUCCAUCUCUCCAUCCGCGGGACGCGGAGCAGAAAAGUGGAUCUCCGUUAGAAGUUGAACCAAAGCCGUACUGCUGCUACAGUAGAGAUAGCUGCUUUACAUUAGGUGCCUUGUGCUAGUUUAUGAUGUUUGUGCUGCUUUACGGAGACUUUAGGAGCGUUCUGGUGGGACAAAGGCUCUGCAGAUGGUGGCUGCAAACAUGAGGAGAGGAUGGAAGUGAAAGGAACAAAUGGAAGUGAUUUCCAGACUCCCCCACAAGGGGGCGGUAGAGUGUCUCAAACCUUCCAAAUGUGAGCUCAAACACCAGAAAAGUUUUGAAUAGGAGAAGCUGGGGAACUAAAUCAGGUUUAUAAAUGAUCUUCACCUUCACAUCGUUACAAACUCAACAAUUAAUUGGAAUUUUAAUUUAAAAAUGAAUAUUUUUUCCCAUCUUAAACGUUCCAAUGUGGCUCCAGGGCUGCUGUCUGCUCCAUCUGAGGACGUCAACAAGAUUAGGAUGAAGGAUUUGGAUCGAUUGGUUUUCCGUCAUCCUUUUCACUUCUCAUCCGCGCUGAUCUCCACGUCCUCUCCUCCACAGCUGGCAACAGAUGAGACCUGCGAAAACAUGUGACAAGGAUGGAGAAAUAUCUAGGCCAAGGCUGUCAGAGUGCAGCAGGAGCUCAGUCCUGGAGGGCUUAGACCAACCAGCCAUUCCUCCCCAUCCCCGCAUAUUUUUCUUCUCCUGCUCCCUCACAUCAUCACACAAACGUGCACAUAGGAUCUUGGGGGAUCGACAAGUCAGGGAGUGUGGGUAAGGACUCCAUUUCCGCAUUCCUGUGGCAACCUGUCCCCCAAUUUUAUUUGCACCUUAAAUACUUCCACCAACAACAUUCCACGCAAACACACACUUAGGGCCUUGGGAGUGAGCACAUUCAACAGCAGUUGGCAGGAGGAUUUCUCAUCCUCAUCCCGGGUGCCGGUGCCCACUUCCAAUUUUAAACCGCACUUAGACACCGAGGGCUGUGGGUGCAAGUGGGGUGGUGCGGUGGCAUCAGCUGGCAUAGGCCAGACAAUGCCCGCACUGCCCGCUCACCACAGCCAUGGAAUACACCUCAUCAAUACACAACACUAUAUUGGAGCAGGCAGAGGGAGACUAGGGGUCUUAGCACACCUCUGUUGUUGCUAGGCUUCCUGGGGCUGGAGGCUAGGAGGGAGAUCUGGCCAUCUGGUUGGGGUCUGGGGUGGUGGGUUGCUGUGCUCAGCGUUGGGCGGGGGAGCCUGCUCAUCAGCACCCCAGCAGAAAGGGUCAAACUCUGGUUACCGGUGAUGGUUGUACCCCAUGUGCAGCAGUACCGGGACCA